CAAAAUAUAGUUUAACUAAAACAUUUCGCUUACACCGAACAGACCCCCUGCUCAAGCCAGAGUAUUUUGA
rnacentral:tRNA from 1 species